rnacentral:rRNA from 1 species
CUUUUUUUGAUUUAAAUUUAAAGUAUAACCUGCCCCUUGAAAUUUUUUAAAAGGGUGCGGUAUAUUGACCGUACAAAGGUAGCAUAAUCAUUAGUUUUUUAAUUGAAAACUUGUAUGAAUGGUUGAUUGAGAAAUAAACUUUUUUAAUAAGAAAAAAUGAAUUUUACAUUUUAGUUAAAAGGCUAAAAUAAAUUUAAAAGACGAGAAGACCCUAUAGAGUUUUAUAAUUUGCUUUUAAUAUUUUAAAAGGAUUAUUAAUUAUUUUAUUUAGUUAAAUUAUUUUAUUGGGGUGAUAGUAAAAUUUAAUUAACUUUUAUUUUUUUUUACAUUAAUAUAUGAAUAAUUGAUCCAUUAUUAUAAUGAUUAAAAAUUUAAAUUACCUUAGGGAUAACAGCGUAAUUUUUUUUUUAAGUUCAUAUUAAUAAAAAAUGUUUGCGACCUCGAUGUUGGAUUAAGAUUAUAAUUUUAAGAGUGCAGAAGUUAAAAUUUAAGUCUGUUCGACUUUUAAAUUCUU